rnacentral:rRNA from 1 species
UCCAGACUCCUACGGGAGGCAGCAGUGGGGAAUAUUGCACAAUGGGGGAAACCCUGAUGCAGCGACGCCGCGUGAGCGAAGAAGUAUUUCGGUAUGUAAAGCUCUAUCAGCAGGGAAGAAAAAUGACGGUACCUGAGUAAGAAGCACCGGCUAAAUACGUGCCAGCAGCCGCGGUAAUACGUAUGGUGCAAGCGUUAUCCGGAUUUACUGGGUGUAAAGGGAGCGCAGGCGGUGCGGCAAGUCUGAUGUGAAAGCCCGGGGCUCAACCCCGGGACUGCAUUGGAAACUACCGAACUAGAGUGUCGGAGAGGUAAGUGGAAUUCCUAGUGUAGCGGUGAAAUGCGUAGAUAUUAGGAGGAACACCAGUGGCGAAGGCGGCUUACUGGACGAUAACUGACGCUGAGGCUCGAAAGCGUGGGGAGCAAACAGGAUUAGAUACCCCGGUAAA